GUCCGGCAUGGCGUGCGUGGUGGGGGCGGCGCACGCGUCGGUGGCGUGACGAACCGUCUGCAACGGGUUCGUGCUGUAGUUGAGGUCCACGGCAAGGCCCCA
rnacentral:tRNA from 2 species